CGAUGGGAAAAGCUAAUGGUCUUUGGGCCUUUACAUCGGUCCAACAUUCAACCGAUGGAAAAAGUUAAAUGAAAUUCUUCCAAAAACCCUAUCUCUACUUUAGUACUGCAGCAAAUCUUUUAUUUCUUCUUCUUCUUCUUCUUCGAGUGCAGCGCCGAACCAUGCCAUCAAAGACUCUCUUUCGUUCUUUCUUUCGAUUUCGAUCUCUCAAACUAGCUCCAAUCUCUUUCUUUCGUUUUCUCUCUAAAUCUCUCGAUCUAGCUCGAAGAACUACUCUCUGAAUUCAAGAUCUACAUUCUCCAGCCAACCAUGGAAGAUAAACUAAUUGAUAUGCUUACUGAAAAGUUGAAUCGCUUUGUUAUUGGCUGCAAUUUGAAUUCCUCAACAGGAUUUGAAGAGAAAAUUCAAGAAGAAAUAAAAAAAGGAAGAAUAUAUACUCUUGGAAUGGAAUCUAAGCCCGACUUAUCAUAGCUUAUGUUCCUUGUCAACCGAGUUGUUUAGAAUACAUGAAUUUGAGGAAAUGAGAAUGAAAAUGUCGAUGAAGAUUAUGACAAGGUUGGUAAUGAUCAUGAUGAGAUGGAUGAUAAAGAGAAGAACUUAGGAUGACAAGUGACUUUGAAAAUAAUGUUACAUUUUGUUAUGUCAAUUAUUGUCAAAAGUUUAAACUAUUUUAUUGUAUUUUUUUGAUGAAACUGUCUAUAUUUCUGAUUCGAGCUAGUUUCUUGACUUUUGUGUUGUCUGCUGAUGUUAAUUAGUGUUAUUGUUUAU